AGCUCCGUAUCAAGGUCACGAUCGAUAUCGUCACUAGCAUCAAAAUUGUUGCUAUCAUCAAUAUCGUCACUAUCAUCAAUAUCGAUCUCAUCAAGAAGAAAACCUUUAGGCUUGUUAUCCAGGAACUUGUUCAGAAAUACCGUAAUGAAAGGAACAUAGGAGUUUGUCGCUAGGUAUUUGACCUAAUAGGAUCGUCCAGUUCCUAUAGAACCUAUCACUAAAAUACCCCUAGAGGGGGAUAAGGCUAAGCGGAAUAUCCAGUUCCCCACACGAAGUUUGUGAAUAAGUGAUUGUCUGAUAAUGAGCAAGGAAUAUCCGUCUUUCUGCUAAACAGGAUGGAUUGAGCUCAUAAUUCAUUAGAUGCUUUUUAUAAAUGUCAACUAAGUAUCGUAAGUAAAUUGCUCCCGGUUUUUCAAUCAUUUGAUAACCAGAGUCAUUCUUUGAUAAACGAUCACUAUGAGUCAGACUCAAUAGAAUUUGAUCAAUCCUAUUUUUUGUUGUUAAGGUGGAGAACUGAACCAAUAAUUCUCUUUUUUCAUCAUCAAUCGAAUCACUGUUCACAACCCAGGAUUCUAUUUUAUCAUCAAUCCAAUCCCAGUUCACGUUUUUUCUUUUUCUUAUCAAUGAAUAUAUCUCUUUACUUGUAUGACUUAGAUGUCUCUUAUUUCUCGAAAAAGUGAUUCGAUUGAUGGGAUUUGGUAUGAGAUCGAUGAUCUCGAUGAGAUUUAUAUUCCAAUCUUUCUUCUUAGAACGUAUUGAUUUGACCCCAUAAGCAGGACCAAGCAUGUUGCCGCCACAAGCAGAACCCCAUAUUUUUUCUAGAGAAUCUCCUAAUUGUUCCAGAGAUUCUUUAACCAGAAAGCAUUCGGUUCAGAUGUAGGAUACCUAUCCAGAAGUUUUCGUAACUCAAUCAUAGAUGAUGGAAUCAUCAAAGAUUUGACCUUUUCGAACUCUAUCUGUAACUCACUAGAGGCCCGAGAAACAAAGAGAAGAUGUGUACGAACGAGAUAUCCAGCAACAAGAAGAAGGAAAAGGAUUGAAUAGAGGAACUCCCGAGCAUUUGGCGAUCUCAUAUGUGUCGAUAUCAAUGGUGACUCAUUAUUUCGAUGAAUCAUUUCUUCGGACAGAAGAAGAUUAUGUAAACACUUACUUGAGAUCUCACUUAUCAGAUUCCAUUUGGAAGACACAAUUUUUUCUGAAGAAUUCGCCAUGAUAUACCUGAUCCAUGCAUAAUAUCAUGAAAAAUGGGUACAAAUUUUUGACUGCUACUUAGUAUUGGCAAUAGGUCUGAAAAAGUAUCUAAAAAUAUCAAAUUUAGAUAUUUGUACCCUGUCAAAGUAAGGAACCAUGGCAUAUAUGUUUGAAAUAGAUUCCAUUUUGAGAGAGUUGAAAAAGCACUAUCUCGUUGAAAGGUUCUAUACAUCUGCCCUUUCUCAACGCAUUUCUUUAGACAAAGACUCCAUUUUUCCUCUUUUCGGAUGAUAAAUCUUUCUCAGAACAUGGAGUGUGAAUCAAACCCAUGUUUGAAUUGAAAUUGAGAUACUAAUGCAAGUUCUUCCCUUCUGAAUCAGAUAGAUUCAUAUCUGAAAGAGGUUGACAAUAAGUUCUUUCAAAAUUGACUAUUUGCCCCUCUAUUAGAGGUGUUCAAGAAAUGUCUGCGAUCGAGUAAAGAGUUCUACGAACGAAUGGAUCGGAUCGACUUGGAAAAUGGAAAUAUUUGUACAAGUUAUACGUUUCAUCACCACUUUGUGGAAAAUCGUUAGGUAUGAAUAUGUUAGAUACCUGUGACUCGAUUAGUGAAAUAGUAUCUCCCCCCCCAAAAGCAUGUUUUUUUUUACCGACGCACAAAGAAAAUAUUUUGUUGCGAAUGAACAAGAUAUUGAGGAGUUGUCCAUACGUAAAAUCAGAAUUAUUGAUACUGGCCUUUUCCACAGAAAAGGGGAAUCUUGUGUUCCAAUAGAAGUAGAAGUGAUGUGGAUUAUUCAAGAAUCGAAGUCAAAUUUGGUUCUUUUUACGAACUUGAUGUCGACAAAUAUGCGAAUCUAGAAAUUCAUUUCGGCUAAUUGAACCUUCUCGAACUGUUUCUUUUUAAGAACCAAAAAGAUUUGUGCCAAAAUAACAAAUGCCAAGAAAAACAAAAGUCCUUGGACACGUAAUGGAUCUUGAAGUACUAUUUCUACAUCUCCCUGACCAAAUCCACCUACAUUAGGAUUACUCGUUAAUGGUUGAUCAAAUUUGAUAGAUUCGCCCUCGGAAACAAGAAGGUCUGGUCCGGGAGGGAUAAUAUCAACCACUUGACGUCCAUCCGACGCAUCCGUUAUGGUUAUCUCAUACCCACCUUUUUCUUUUCGUAUGAUUUUGCUUACUAUACCUGCUGCUGUAGCAUUAUAAAUAGUAUUGUUACUCUUGCUGCUGUCGGAAUAAAUCUGACCCCUUCCCCUAUUCCCGCAUACGUAUAUAGGAUAUUUUAAGAAGUGAACAUCCUUCUUAGUAGCAGGGUCCGGGGAAAGAAUAAGGAAGGUUAUUUCACUAUAUUUUUGACCAUGGAUAGGGCCUAUCACAAGAAUAUUUUUUUAUUGGGGCGAUAGCUCUGAAAAGACAAAUUGCCAAUCUUUUCUUUCAUCUCGGGAGAAAUACGAUCAGGAGGAGCUAAUUCAAACCCCUCCGGUAAAUAGUAUAGUUCCCUAGCCACGAUUCUGCUAUUUGCUGGAAUAAUCUAGGAAUAAUAUAGGAUGAAUCUCCCCGAUGGUUAGAAAUAGAAAGAGUAAAUAUGAUUUUCAAUACUUUGCUUAUGUACAACUACAAAGUACCAAGCAUUCUAAUUGGAUUAGAUUAAUAUCAAUGGAUCCUUUAUUAGUCAUUCAUUGAAUGAUAAAUAACUACAAGUGACGGAGAUAGACGAUUUAAAUAACGAAAA
rnacentral:lncRNA from 1 species